ensembl:lncRNA
GGCCUCGGGCUUGGGAUUGCUCCUCCCGGCCACCGCCCCUUACCUGAGACGCGGGGUAGCUCCUCUCGGCCAUUCCUGCGCCCUGUCGUUGGCCAAUGCAUCCUGUCUGGAGUCUUAAAUGCUAUUGCACAGCCCGUGUCACACCAGAGUAUUCAAUGAUGCAUUCUACUGCAAAAGGAGCAGGAGAGACCAAUCCAUGUCCUACUACAGACUACAUUCUCUAAACAAAUUCCUGAUCAUCAAACUCAGAGCAAUGUUGAUAAUCUAGAUAACAUGGGUUAAUGGCUUGUGGCCAGAAGGGGGUACUAAAAAAUAUCUCUUGACAUCCAGGCUAGGACAUGUUAUUCUCCCAUUAGACAUUGAAAAAAAUCUCAGGGAAUGCCAACUUCAGGUGAGAUCAUGAGAUCUUGUCACUCUGAGAUCAUGAUAAAGUGAGACAAAACAAAGGCCACUUCAUGAUUUUUUUGUUCCUUAGCACAGACAAAAGCAAAAUCACUGUACAAAUCACCGUAUAUCCCUCUCCUAGCUAGUAUGAGUGACUGCUAGUUUGGGGGUUUUGUUUUCCCCUUUGCUUUGUUUCUUUGUUUGUUUUCAGCAAUUGUAGCUUUAACCUCACUCUAAUCUAUUCUCUCUAUACAAAAGGUUUAUUAAGAUACUGUCAUAGGAAUUCCCUGUCUUCCUGACAGUAUCCAAUCCAGAUCAGAGCUCUGCUUCUUUAAAAAUUCACCCAAAUCACCUAAAACAAGCCCACCUCUUUUCUUCUUUAAUUUUUUUUUUUGAGGUGGUCCCUUUAUUUAGUCUUUAUUCAAUUUGUUACCAUAUUGCUUCUGUUUUUUUUUUGUUUGUUAGUUUGUUUGUUUUCUUUUAUGUUUUGGUUUUUGGCCACAAGACAUGUGGGACCUUAGUUUCCCCAACCAGGGAGCGAACCCACACCACCUACUUUGGAAGGCAAAGGCUCAUCCACCGGACCAGCAGGGAAGUCCCAAGCCCAAAUCUCUUAACAUCCCUUUUCUAUCACCCACGUACUUGUGUGGCCCACAGUUCCUUCACUGUGUAUGUUCUCCUUCACUGC